UACGUAGGGUGCGAGCGUUAAUCGGAAUUACUGGGCGUAAAGUGUGCGCAGGCGGCAGAGCAAGUCGAGUGUGAAAGCCCCGGGCUUAACUUGGGAAUUGCGCUCGAAACUACUUUGCUGGAGUGUGGCAGAGGAAGGUGGAAUUCCACGUGUAGCGGUGGAAAUGACGUAGAGAUGUGGAGGAACACCAAUGGCGAAGG
rnacentral:rRNA from 1 species